GACGAACGCUGGCGGCGCGCCUAACACAUGCAAGUCGAACGAGCGAGAGAGAGCUUGCUUUCUCGAGCGAGUGGCGAACGGGUGAGUAACGCGUGAGGAACCUGCCUCAAAGAGGGGGACAACAGUUGGAAACGACUGCUAAUACCGCAUAAGCCCACAGCUCGGCAUCGAGCAGAGGGAAAGGGAGUGAUCCGCUUUGAGAUGGCCUCGCGUCCGAUUAGCUGGUUGGUGAGGUAACGGCCCACCAAGGCGACGAUCGGUAGCCGGACUGAGAGGUUGAACGGCCACAUUGGGACUGAGACACGGCCCAG
rnacentral:rRNA from 1 species